rnacentral:misc_RNA from 1 species
AGAAUACAAAAUUUCCCCACAUUUCUAGUUUGAAUGAAUACAUCUUAGCAAACAUAUCCAUAUAUCUAAAAAAGUUAUGAAAUGUCUCAGGUAAGCCACACCAGUGGCCAUUAUGGUCUUUGGCACACACACAAAAGAAUACCCUACUAAAUGAGGUCAAACUCAAAACUAGCAUCUAAAAGACCUUCACCCUGAAUGUAUAAGACAGCAAUGCUACAAAGUUUCAUUAUCUACAGGACUAACAGAGUAUUCAAACAUUUGUUUUUAGAAUUAGGAGCUGCACUAAGCAGAAA